rnacentral:rRNA from 1 species
AUUGAACGCUGGCGGCAGGCCUAACACAUGCAAGUCGAGCGGGGUUUUCGGACCUAGCGGCGGACGGGUGAGUAAUGCGUAGGAAGCUGCCCGAUAGAGGGAGAUACCAGUUGGAAACGGCUGUUAAUACCGCAUAAUGUCUACGGACCAAAGUGUGGGACCUUCGGGCCACAUGCUAUCGGAUGCGCCUACGUGGGAUUAGCUAGUUGGUGAGGUAAUGGCUCACCAAGGCGACGAUCUCUAGCUGGUUUGAGAGGAUGAUCAGCCACACUGGAACUGAGACACGGUCCAGACUCCUACGGGAGGCAGCAGUGGGGAAUAUUGGACAAUGGGCGCAAGCCUGAUCCAGCCAUGCCGCGUGUGUGAAGAAGGCCUUCGGGUUGUAAAGCACUUUCAGUAGGGAGGAAGGGUGUUGUGUUAAUAGCACAGCAUUUUGACGUUACCUACAGAAGAAGCACCGGCUAACUCUGUGCCAGCCGCCGCGGUAACAC